UAAGUAAGCGGAGGAUAAGAAACUAAAUAGGAUUCCCUCAGUAAUGGCGAAUGAACAGGGAUGAGCUCAGCAUGGAAAUCGGGGCCUGUGGCCUUGAAUUGUAGUCUCGAGAAGCAUUGCCAACGGAGGCGCAGAUGUGAGCCUCUUGGAAAAGAGCAUCGACGAGGGUGAGAGUCCCGUUUGUCAUCUGCAGUCCCCCGUGCACGGUGUGCUUUCUAAAGAGUCACGUUCCUCGGGAUUGGAGCGCAAAGUGGGUGGUAAAUUUCAUCUAAAGCUAAAUAUAGGUUCGAGACCGAUAGCAAACAAGUACCAUGAGGGAAAGGUGAAAAGGACUUUGAAAAGAGAGUUAAAAGUGCCUGAAAUUGCUGAAAGGGAAGCGAAUGGAACCAGUGUUGCUUGGCAAGAUUGGUGCGUGCUAAUGUGAUUGGCUGCUGCUUCAGCGCAAGCGUGGCAGUGGUUUUUGAUCAGGACGUGCGUGUUGUUUCUUGCCUUGUGUGUCAACGUCAGUUCUCAAUCGAGGAAAACGCCAGGGAAAUGGGAGCCUGGGUCCGCUUGGGUGAACGUCCUUGGUUGAACUCAUUUGUGAACUGUUUCUUGCGUGUCUGGUUGCAGUGCUCUCUGUCCCUGGGACUCCAAUGUGGGCUUCGGUCUGCUUGGGCGUCUUGGGCGACUGGGGUAUCUCCCUGACACAACGACGAUGACUAAAUGGUUCUAUUCGACCCG
rnacentral:rRNA from 1 species